rnacentral:misc_RNA from 1 species
ACAUUGAGCAAAGCGCUUCGACUGAUAAUCAAAUGAAAUGAUUUAAAAGUGGUACGACAAUAGUAUUUUGACGAAUGUGUUUAUUGUUUGCAGUUGCAACUUGUUAUUACGAUUAAGGUGUUUAUUUUCUUUGCUACAGUUACGAUCUUAAUGCUGAAAUGUACUUCAGUUAAAAUGUUUCGACUUGUGUUUUGACUAAAAUGUUCGGACUAAUUUGUUUGACUACUUGAGUUUAAAUCACUCGUGUUUUGAUUAAAGUGGUCGGACUAAUAAUUUGUUGCCUUAUUAAGUACUAUAACAUGUUAUGAAAGUGGACUUGGAAGUGACUAGCGUUACAUUUCUUCCAAAGGGUGUUUAUCAUAUUUCUAAGCCUUCCACUAAGUUUCGUUUAGUAGGAAAAUAAUGUUUUCCCCUAAAUGAAUAUUGAUUUUGUGUUUACCAAGUGGUACGAUUAGGUAUUCAAAUGUUACGAGUAAAAAGAAUAAGUGCCUGAGUUAAAAAAAUUUUAAAUGUGUCGCCCCUAAAUGGAUAUUGACUAAGUGUUUACUAAGUGGUUCGACUAAUUGUUAACUAAAGUGAAUUUGUUCAAUUGAUUUAGUGUAAAUUGUAAAGUGCGUUUUUAGACGCAAGGUAAUGACUAAUUGUUACUAAAGUGAUUUGGUUGAAUAUAUAUAGUGUUUUACCAAGUAUGUUUUUCUUAGGCGUGAGUUCUUUAUGACUAAGUGUUUUUUUUUUUUGGCGUGUGACUAAGUGUUUUUAGGCGUGUGUCUAUGACUAAGUGUUUUUAGGCGUGUGACUAUGACUAAGUAUUUUUAGGCGUGUGACUAUGACUAAGUGCUUCGGUUUAUUUUUGACAAAGAGUUAAAGUUGUGCCUAAGAAGAGUGUUUUUUAUUUAUUUGGCCUUUUUGAUGAUACGUGUUUCGACAAAAUAUUUUAAAUUUUUAACUAACAUGCUUAGAGUGUGGGUUUUAUAUACACUAACAUGUUCAAAUAAGUGUUUAAAAGUG